UACGGAGGAUGCGAGCGUUAUCCGGAUUUAUUGGGUUUAAAGGGUGCGUAGGCGGGAUGCCAAGUCAGCGGUAAAAAUGCGGUGCUCAACGCCGUCGAGCCGUUGAAACUGGCGUUCUUGAGUGGGCGAGAAGUAUGCGGAACGCGUGGUGUAGCGGUGAAGUGCAUAGAUAUCACGCAGAACUCCGAUUGCGAAGGCAGCAUACCGGCGCCCUACUGACGCUGAGGCACGAAAGCGUGGGUAUCGAACAGG
rnacentral:rRNA from 1 species